ensembl:lncRNA
CUUCUGGAAUGAUGAAAAAAUAUGAUAAAUUUCUACACAAAAGUCAUGCCUUGAGAAAGAAUAGCUUAUGUGGCUGGGAAAACCUGAGGUUUUGAAAAAAACGCAGCCCAGCCUGCCAGCAAGGCUUCCACAGACUCGUCACGUGUACAUCAUUGGUGUUUUCCAGAGAGUCAGGCUCAGGUGGGGCUAGGGCAGUCCCAAGGCUGAGCUUUCUUCUUCAGAUGCGUGUGUGUGCGUGAAACACUCACUCAGGACAAAGAAACUGUAAUUAGACUGGCCAUAACGUAUUUCAAAUUAUAUUUGACAUUAUCAAAUGUGAAAGGAGGACUUUUCUGGUUAGGAACGGUGGAAUGGGCUCUUGGCGCCGUUCGCAGGCAGUGCGCAGCCCCCAUGCUGCAGAGGCGUCUAGAAGCAGCCCUGGAAGUCCUCGGAAGGCGCGUCGCGGGCUGUGGCGGCCGCUCCUGCCUGGCCGCUGGGUGCCCACGCUCGGAGCUGGGAGCGCUUUUCUGGCUGUCGCGGUGGUUUCCUGCCGUCUGUCCCCAGCUCUGGGCCUGGCUCCUGAUGGGGCCUCACCAGGCUCCCAGACCUGCUCUCCAGCCUGGGUCCCCUCCAGGCCCCCUGACCCAGGAGGGACACCAAGAGAGGCCGUGCCCCGUUCAUGUGUUCCUGAGAAAAACCUCCAGACCGGGUCAAAGCUUCCCUCGUGGCCUGAGUACCCAGCGACUCUUCUCUCCCCCCAACGCCUCAUUUGGAAGGAAACAUAAACUUGACGGCUCCACAGAACCGUUGUCUCAUCCGCUCUGCUCAGAGCCAACGCCCCCUCCCUGCGAAAAACAAAAACACAGAAACAAAGGAAGAGCAGCCAACAUCGCCGUCUCCCAAAGCCCUUGGACAGCUGCCGGGGGAAGAGAUGCGCUUCUAGACACAUCCAGGAGGCUGUCUUGUUUUCCUGUUAAUAUCGCACGGUGGUGACUGCAGUAACAAAAGCACUGGAAGGCUCCCGUCUCACCACCCGCCUCUGCAGCCCCGUCGUGCACGGGAUGCUCCCCACCCCCGAUGUAGCGUGGCGGGCCCGCGGCAGGGUCUGUUCUGGCCUCGAGACGUCAGACCCUUGGAGCAGAGGCCGUGGGCUGGCCCCUCCACGCAGCCCCCGCGCCCCGCACCCACCCUCGCCCACCCCGACUCAUCCUUACCCCCCCAGCUCAUCUGAUCCAAUAAGGUGAGCCCCCCGCGGAUCCCCCAGACCCCCACCGCCCCAGGGGGCGCCUCCAACACAGGCUCAGGCACCAGCCGCGAGGCCCAGAUGCAUCAACGCCUGCGCAGCCGCCCCAGCCAUAUAUUGAUUUUUGUUACAGCCGCGAGGCCCAUCCAAUUAAAAAGCAUCACCCACCUGUUCCAAGCCUUCCUUCUUGCCAAGUGUUUGCGGCUGGCAGAAAACAGUGCUGUUGGUUCAACGUGGCCUCAUUUCCUCUGCUGGUCAGAGUUUGGAAGCCCCUCCUGAUGCUGAAAAGUCUUGAGAUGGAUUCUCCAAGUCAGGCUGGAGAACCUUCAGGAGAAAGAUCAGUUAAAAGAUCCCACCUGUUGUUUGGAAACACGGAAAGCUAAUCCCUCAGGCAGCCCCAUCUCAGCCGCCUGGGGAGGGCUGCACAGAGAGGAGGGAAUAUCGGAAGAAUCUCUUGCUCAUUUCCCCAGCAGUUAGGAAGCAGAUGAAGCCAGAACUGGCUCUACACUUGGCAAAGCACCUGGACACAAUAAUAUGCUAAUAAAAUGAUUAAAUGUCUCCACAGCGAAGCCCCAGUGCAUUUAUUUACCUUUUACUGACCUCUGAUGAAUGUCUGCCAAAAUACUAGCACGACCCGGAAAGGCACAAGCGAAGUGUCUGCCACCAGGCAAGGUUUAACCUGACC